rnacentral:rRNA from 1 species
UGGCUCAGGACGAACGCUGGCGGCGUGCUUAACACAUGCAAGUCGAACGCUGAAGCCUAGCUUGCUGGGUGGAUGAGUGGCGAACGGGUGAGUAACACGUGAGUAACCUGCCCUCUUCUUUGGGAUAACGCCCGGAAAUGGGUGCUAAUACUGGAUAUUCACUGGUCUUCGCAUGGGGGUUGGUGGAAAGGGUUUUUCUGGUGGGGGAUGGGCUCGCGGCCUAUCAGCUUGUUGGUGGGGUGAUGGCCUACCAAGGCUUUGACGGGUAGCCGGCCUGAGAGGGUGACCGGUCACAUUGGGACUGAGAUACGGCCCAGACUCCUACGGGAGGCAGCAGUGGGGAAUAUUGCACAAUGGGCGCAAGCCUGAUGCAGCGACGCCGCGUGAGGGAUGGAGGCCUUCGGGUUGUGAACCUCUUUCGCUCAUGGUCAAGCCGCAACUGUGGGUUGUGGUGAGGGUAGUGGGUAAAGAAGCGCCGGCU